rnacentral:tRNA from 2 species
CCUUCGAUAGCUCAGUUGGUAGAGCGGGGGACUGUAGAUUUAUAAUUGUGAUCCCUAGGUCGCUGGUUAGAAUCCGGCUCGAAGGA